ACUCCUACGGGAGGCAGCAGUGGGAAUAUUGGACAAUGGGGCACCGUAGCAUCCAGCGAUGCGCGUGUGUGAAGAAGGCCUGAGGGUUGUAAAGCACUUUUAGUGGAAAGAUAAUGACGGUAUCCACAGAAAAGCACCGGCUAACUUCGUGCCAGCAGCCGCGGUAAUACGAAGGGUGCUAGCGUUGUUCGGAAUUACUGGGCGUAAAGAGCUCGUAGGCGGUUUGUCACGUCUGCUGUGAAAAUCCAAGGCUCAACCUUGGACUUGCAGUGGGUACGGGCAGGCUAGAGUGCGGUAGGGGAGAUGGGAAUUCCUGGUGUAGCGGUGGAAUGCGCAGAUAUCAGGAGGAACACCAAUGGCGAAGGCACAUCUCUGGGCCGUAACUGACGCUGAGGAGCGAAAGCGUGGGGAGCGAACAGGA
rnacentral:rRNA from 1 species